CGUAGGUGACCAGCGUUGUCCGGAUUUACUGGGCGUAAAGAGCGCGCAGGCGGUCGUUCAAGUCGAGUGUGAAAGCCCCCGGCUCAACUGGGGAGGGUCAUUCGAUACUGAUCGACUCGAAGGCAGGAGAGGGAAGCGGAAUUCCCGGUGUAGUGGUGAAAUGCGUAGAUAUCGGGAGGAACACCAGUGGCGAAGGCGGCUUCCUGGCCUGUUCUUGACGCUGAGGCGCGAAAGCUUGGGGAGCAAACGGGAUUAGAUACCCCGGUAGUCCUAGCCGUAAACGAUGGACACUAGGUGUUGGUGGUAUCAACCCCACCAGUGCCGAAGCUAACGCAUUAAGUGUCCCGCCUGGGGAGUACGGCCGCAAGGCUA
rnacentral:rRNA from 1 species